rnacentral:tRNA from 1 species
GCCUUCGUGGUGUAACGAAAGCACAUUUGGCUCGUAAUUGAGAGGUCCAGGUUCGAGUCUCGGCUAAGGCA